UCACUUAAUAUACUUGGAAAAUAAGUAAGUUUCUACCAUCUAAGACUGGUAGUUAUUGAUCAACAAUACUUUAAUUCUGAAAUAUUUUGGAACCUGAAUCUCUCUACUGAACUUUAGUACAGUAAGUAUGGUCUUGCUUUGUAUGGAGUGAUUGUACUUCAGGUGGCUGUUGCUUCUAUUGUGGACAAGCCAGGAAAAGGAGAACAAAAGAUUCACAGCAGCUUGUUGAAAAAUAAUUAUAUUUUAUCCCAAGGCCAUUCAGCUCCCCAUGUAGUCAUGAAGUUCAACAACAGAGGGGUCACCUUAGUUAAAAGGUGCGUUUCCUGUAGUCGUCUUUAGGUUUUUUGAAGGCUAGGUAAGGAAAAUAAUAUGCCCCUCGUCCAUUCUCCAAACUGUGGUCAUCUUUAUCCUGUCAUAGUCAUACAUUUGAAGAAUCUAAUAUGAACACAGGCAGACAGCAGUUCUCUGAAACAUUUUAUUAUCUCCUUCUUCCUCUGUCCUGUCUCACUGUACAAUGCAGCAUCUUUAUAUCAUGUAUUAUUCUGCAGUAGGAUCAUCAUACAUUUCCAUUUUUUCUACAGAUCAUUACAGAUAGUAAGUGUGAAAUGCAAAUCAAGUAUUUUAAUUAUUAGGGCAAACAUGGCAAAAGCUGAUGAAAUAAUGGUGAUAUUUCACCUAAACCAAUCUUAUUAUUUUGAACAGGGCACUACUCUAACAUUCCCAGCCACUCUCUCUCUCUCUCUCACACACACACACACACACAGGAAAUAACACUAAGCUACUUUGUAGGAAAGAAUGGUGUAACCCACAUUUUCUCUGCCACAGCUCCACUCACUACAAUAUAGGAGUGUGGAGCAAUAUAGGGAGAUAAUGAUGAACAUUAUCUUCAUACAUUGUCAGGGUAAUUUUUUAAAAAAAGUUUACAAACACAGAAACAGAUUAUUAACCAGAUUUACAUUAGAAAGGCAAUAAAUUCUCAUUUUUCAUAUUUUCUCUCAUUUGCUAUAACAUUUUAUAUUUUGUAAACAUACUACAAUCCAAAAUCAGCUAUCCAAAAUAUCUGGAUUUUUGCACUAUGUUCUAGGGACUUAAAUGACUUCCUAACAGGAAGUCCCCAAAAGUUUUAAGACCAAGGUUAACGAGCUCAUAUAUGACCUCCUGCACUGGUUAAAAUCAGUAAAAGGUAGAGUACGCUACUUUCGCACAAAACAAUUGGGAAGAAUGUCUGUACAUUUUGUCUCAUAAGUUGGACUCCCGAAAAUUCACCUUAAAAAAUGAAAGAGCUGUGAAUCUGGAGCUUAUGGUUCAUCACUGGGGUUGUCAAUUGCUGCCCACCCCCCUUCCUAUGGACACACAUGCACCCAGAGACCUACCACCAGUAGAUCCUAAUCUGUCUGAUCUGACAUACAACUUUUUCAAAUAAGUUUUGUUGAAUGGUUAUCCCAAAUUCUACAGAGAAAUAACUUUAAAAUCAUCAAUAUAGAUCUUGAUGUAUUUGAUGAUUUAACGUGUGACUUGUUAACAUUCUGUUAACAGUUACACAUGCUGACCCUUUCUGAAGUGGACUUGGCAUGACAUUGUAUAAUAUUGCUGAAUUAGACACUGUUCUGUAUUAAUACAUAUUCUAAGAGAGUAAUAUGAGAGCAGAAUGUUAUUCUGUUCUUUAUAACAUACUGUACCUACCUGAUAUUUAUAAAACAAAUUGCGCUGAAACAUAAUAUUCUAUUUUGUUACUAUGAGUGUGCAAAUGUCUACACUAUGUACAUUUCACACAACAUUUUGCCAUCCAGGUAUCGGCCUGAUUCAGGAGCUAUUGUGCCUAACACAGAGACACUCCUUUGCUGCAUGCCAUGACAGGAUAUUUACAGCAUCUGUCAAAGGCAGUAGCAACACCUGUUGCCAUACAGUGGGGCCAAAAGCAAAAAGAAUACAGUUCCAUGAACUCUGCAACUUGAUCCUUCUGACCCUGCCUUUGUUCCCACUUCCUUACAGCAAAACACAGAUCAUCCAAUAGUUUGUCUGUUACACAUCCAGUGCUAAGCCAUGCCCAGUUUCCUUUGCAGUGAAGAAAAUGAUAGCUCAGAUGCACUGCAAUUCUCAUGUCAGAGCAAAAAAGAUCUAUGGCUUUGUCCAUAAAAAACAUGGAUUAAGAUCUGCACUUGAACCCUCACUGUGUGGAUCACCAGUACUACUAUUCUAUGAUAUUUCAGUGGUAUUUAAAAAUAGACAAAUAUCUAGCCUUUUUGGUAUCCCUUUCACAUCUGGAUGUUUUUACAAGCAGUAUUAAAAAUUUAUAUAGAAAAAUAGUCAAUAAAGUAGUUUUUCAAGGAGAAAUGGGAAGAAAAAUUUGAGAAUUUGUUGAAUCUCAGAAUCUGUUCCAAAAAAUGCAAGAAGAAUGAGACAUUAUUAAUUUACGUUUCAGACAAAAGACUGGUUAUAUGUGGAUCAUACAAGAUACUACCCAAAGCCAAAAAAGCAACACUACAAGUCAGAAAAGCAAAACUUUCUAAGGAAACUAGUUUAUGCAUUUUUUCUAUAUGUGCGUAUAUAGUAAUAAUGUGAUCUGCUACUUACAAGAGGGAUCAGUGCUAAAACCAAGUAAAAGCAUGUGUUCCAAAGAAAAAGUAGCUAACAAAAUGACUUGUACAUAAUUUUGACUUGUACAUAAUUUUGAGAGAUUUUGGCUAAGAUUAUUAUUUAUAAAACAAGAAUGCUUCUAAAAGAGAAUUAAAGAUCUAAAGUUGUCACAAACAUAAAUGUUGUUCAUAUACCCAAGAUAAAGGUAUUUGCUACCUUCAUUUGUUUGAUGACAUAGCCAUUUGUUUUUUUGUGGGGAAGAUGCAUCAAUUUAACUUUUAUGCACAUUAACUACAUGGCUCUUCUUAACUAAGAAUGCCUCCUGCAGUUGGACAACAUUAUAACAAUAAUCCUGACUAUCAGAGUAUUCAAACUAUAGUAUGUUUGACAGGGUCCUGAAUUUGCAGAGAGUUGAUGUUUUGAAUGAAGAAAUACUGAGUAAGAUUUUGUGACUAUCACAAGAGAAUCUCAAAUUGUGUCAGAGAGCCUAAGGAGUUGUGUGGCCAAAUGUCCAAAAUUGACACUAAUGGAUGCAGGGAAAAAUGGACUUAAACAAUUAAACAACAAAAUAGCAAGUAAAUAACCUCCUGACCAAGUUCCUAAAACUCAUGAAUUUCUUAAACUACAAUUUUUCAAUUUGGCUUUCACAGGAAGAAAAGCUCAGUCCCCUAAAAGCUCAGUCCCUGAAUGGCACUGUUAGCAAUAACCAGUCAUGGCUGCAAAAAGUCAGAUUUUUUUGCAACAUGUAAAGAAUGUUUUACAUGUUGACAAAUGAAACAAGCAUACAAUAGAUGAAACUGCACGUUAGUGAAUGCAAUCCAUCUGGUUUAGUACAAAAUAAAACAACCACAUUAUUUCACCAUGUCUCUGUAAGGUUUAGCAAAUACAGUCUGUGCAGACUGGAUAGACUACUGUAAUAUUAAGAAGAACUAUGGGGAAGCCACAAAUUAGGGGGUGGUAAGUGGAAAAUGCUGAACAAAUUAAUGGUUUAAGGUCUUAAUUAUCUGCAUUACAAUAUUUCUAGAAGUACCCAAUUAUUCUUAAUCUGGAAAAAGAAAGGAAAGAUUGGGAAUAUGGUAAGGAAAAACCUAGUUAAUUCUUGGCAAUACCAGUAUAGUAGAAGAACUGUACUCAGACUUCUUCAUGUCCAUGUCCUCUCCAUUAUUGCUAAAUGGAAAAGGCAAGCACUUGAAACAAGCUCUGGAAAUGUAAAAUAAGUUUUUAGCAUUUUCUUUGAAACUAGAAAGUUAUGGACGGCAAAACUUUUGCAGAAGAAACCAACAGUAGUAAUGGGGAAUUUCAACUAUCCUACUAUUUGCUGGAAGUCUAACUCUGCAAAGAAUGGAGUAUAUAAGUUAAAUUUUUGAUGUGCCUCAUUAUUUCAUCUCUCAGAAUGGGAAAAAUGUGCAAGAGGACCUGCUGUGCUCAACUUAAUCCUGACCAACAAGGGAAAAGUGGCAAAUGAAGUGGCAUGAACCAUAGGGAAAGUGAUUCAUGAUUAGAGGGCUGUGAAAGCUAAGCCUUUGAAAUCUGAUUUCAAAACUAUCAGGGGAAAGUUGGACACAAUCCUAUGGUUAAAUAUCCUUAGAGAAAAAGGGUUUCAGGAGGAAUGGGAGAUCCUGAACACUAAAAUACGGAAGAUAAGAUUCCAAACUAUUCCCAUGAGGAGGAAAAAAUCAGGGACAUUUAACGAAACCUGUCUGACUAUACAAAGAGCUCUCUGAUAAUCUGAGAUUUAAGAGUCAUGUAUAAGAGAUGGAAGCAGGAAUAUUCUAACAAGGGAGAGUAUGACAGAGUUGCUAGAACCUGCGAAAAAAUACAAAGGAAGGUGAACACCCAUAACAAAUUAAGGCUGGCAAGAGAUGUUCAAAACAACAUAAAGAGCUUUUCUGGCUAUAGUAAAGAUGAAUAAGGAAAUGGUAGAACUACCAUUUUGGGAAGAUGGUGAGUUGUUAGCAUGUGACAGACACAGGAUGGAACUAUUCAUCUCCUACUGUGUGUCAUGAGUUCAGUGAUCAAGAGUGACCUGAAUUACAUUGCUGAGUGUUGAAGAAGCCUGCAGACAUUAUUUCAGAGCCAGUCUCUGUGUAAUAUGUAAGAAUUCUUUGAGAACAGGUGAAACACUGGAAGACUAGGAAAUGCGCAAAUACUGUCCCUAUAUUCAAGAAAAGGAAAAAAGAUGGAUCCAGAAAGUAUAGAUAUCGGCCUGAUGUCAAUACAAGACAAAAUUCUCGAACAAAUUCAGUCAGCCCUCGAGCAUCUAGAAAAUUACAUACUGAUUACUAGGAACAUUAGUCAGGAAUAUAUCGUGCAGGACAAAUGUUAUCUCCUUUUCUGAUAGUGUUACUAGCUUAGCAGAUAAUUGGAAUUGGACAUUGUAUGUCCUUGAUUUCAGCAAAGCAUCUGACAAGGUUUCUCAUGAUGGUGAGUUAAAUUGUGAGUUGAUGGUAUAUAAUUAGGUGUAUUCACAGCAAGUCAAGCAACCACACUCAAUGGGUAGAUUCACACAUAAUGCUCAAAAAUGCUUCAUGGUAGCAUGGUAUCUUACAUUAUGUCAUUUUUUCACACAUUCAUGUGCUUUCAGUGCAUGCAUGGUUUCCAUGCUUCUUCAUCUUCCCUCCAAAUGGCAGUGCAUGUCCCAUCAGCCCUCAUGGCUAGAGAUCCAUCCGCGGGUGCUCUGCUCUGGGCUGCACCGCUUGCCUCUCUCUUUGACCCACAUAUUCCCCUGGACAUGACUGCAACUGGCUAUUCCUGCUUUUCUUUUUAGUUUUCACUGCUCAGAGAAGCAGCUGCAUAUUCACCAGGGGAGCACUGUUGCUCCAGAGUAGCACUGCAGGAAUGCACCCUGCUGCUGCCAUAUGCACAAGCUCACCCACACACAUGAUCAAACUCCUUUCCCCAUGUACAGAGCUCACACACGCUGUUAGGGGUUGACACCUCGAGCCAGGCACACAGAGGGCAUCAACCUGUUCAUGUCAGGAACAGAAGGAGCAUGCUCUGCCAGGCAGACUUCCAGAGGGUACCUGCCUGGGAAAGUUAGCUGGCAGGCUGCCAAGACAGUGGUUGCUGGGGGACAACAAGGUUUUUGAGGAGUCCUGAAGAUUGCCAGGGACAAGGUAGGAAUGAGGCAGAGGAUGGGGGAAAGAGCAGAAGACACAGGCUCCAUCGGAUGCUUGCCCCAUUGGCAAAGUCCCAAGUACUGCCCGUGUACCCCUUUUGAGCAGAGCAGCCUCCACAUGAGACUGCUGGCUCUUAUAAUGGCAUGAGCAUGGUGCCACUUCAAAGCACUGUUCCAGCACAGGGCAAUAACAAAGCAGGAUUGCUAAAUAUAGCGGUCUCCACAGUUGCUGACGCUGCUGGAGGUGGUCGCCAUGGCUGGGCAUUGGAAAGUCAUGGGUGAACAGAAAAGACAGGAAUGUGAAUCAAUCAAUCAGGACAGACAGGACAGGGAAAACUGAGUCUUGAAUUGUGUGCUGCAGCCAUAGCUGCUCUCACUGGGAGAAACAUGGAUGCAUUGUAACUGGAGUCACAGAUAACAGCAGGCGAUGGUUAAGUGAGGUAACCUUACAACAGACUGUGCAUUCUCCACAAGGUUUUAUGGAAACCAAAUGUGCCAUGCUUCACCAUGGAUACUGAAUUCACAUGUAAUGACAAGCAAUGUCUAUGCAGUUUCCCACAUAGCCUGUCAUUAUGUGUGCACAUAGCCACUGAGUGCAAAUUAUUGGCUCAGCAGUCUCCUAGAGGGAGGUCUCAACUGGAAUGUCACAAGAUUCUGCUCUAGGCCACACACUGUUCGGUAUUUUAAUAAAUUGCUUGGGUAAGUAUGUAGCGGGCUUGCUUAUCAAAUCUGCAGAUGAAACAAAGCUAGGAAGGAUAGCCAACAGGACAGAAGACAUGAUUGUCAAGAGCCAGUGCGUCGCCCUUCCUUCCCUUCAAGCAGAUCAGGUCAAAAGACUUCUAACUAAAGAUUUUAUUAUGUUGGAACUGGCCAGCUAGACUGGUCUGGUGAAACAAAAGAAGCAUAUUGUAAUAGUCAUUAAGAAAAGGUAUCAGCAACUUAGAAUACCAGCCAUUUAGGAAAUAAGGCUUAAUGAUAAGCAGUUAAUGCCAAACUGAACACUUCUCCCAAAUAACUGGCUCCAACAUUCAGGAUGGUUCAUGUGCUUAUGGGCCAAUCAACAGAAAUGUCUGAUGCUAUUCAGUUGGUCUCUUUGAUCUGAUGCCAUAUCAUCAGAUAAUAAUAAUGUUAAGUCUCUCACCCUCUGACUCCAGUGUUUCCCACAGAACCACAUGGGGUCUGGUUCUUAGCAGCCUCUUGGCUCAACUGAUUUUGGCUAAGAAUUCUGAUUCUACCUCUUCUUGCAGUUCUGAUUCAGACUCUGAAGCAACAACUUUGGGAGCCAACAUUUUCAGAGAAGCAGGCCUGUUCCCCACAAGGAUCAAGAUUUGAAAGGAUCUAGAUAAAAUACUCGACCAAACUUAAUAAGGAAACUUGCUUCCUCCUCCCCCUUCUCCCCAGAAGGAACAGUAGGCCAGUGCAAAGUACACUCUACUAUCUGCCAUCAGUCAGUCAUUGAGAGGCUGUAACCCCUGUAUCCCAGGAACAACAAGGGGGUGACUAAGCUGGCCUAUGCACUGUCCAGAGCUGCAAGGAGCUUUUUCCAUCUCCCUGCCAGAAAGAACACUUCACUCCAACUGCUUGUACUGAAAAAGAAAGAACACUCUAACACAUUGAUCAAAGAGCUACUUAUUGCUAUUCAAACAAAAACAACAGCAAGAGAAGAUUGCCCUGACCUGAAGUGCAUCAAAUACUCACUUACAGCUGACCACCUUGUUUGGGCCUUGAAAACGGAGCCCCCUCCCUUUCCUUCUCCCCAUCUUUUUAGUCUGUAAAAAGUCUUUUUAGCCUGAUGGUAGGCUCUGUCUUUUUUUCUUAUUCUUAUGAGCUAGUUUGGAGCAUAAAAAUUAUAUGAAAAGUUAGAUACAAACACAUAUAUAUAAUGCUGCUCAUAAAUUGAUAUUUUGGGGUUGAGGGGAGAAGUAUUCAAGUAUAAGAGGGCCAGGUAGUGAUGAUCCUAAAAAGCAAGAGGGUAGGAAAAGAGGGGAUACUGAAAUAUUCUUUCUAAAAAAUGCUAAUUGGUAUAUACUCAUCUCUCAUGCCAUCUUCCAUAAGGAGAGAAUGAAUGAAUGAAUGGAUAUCCUAGUUUAACCGUAUUUUAAAAAUCCACCGUGUUAAUAUGAGAAUUUCUCUUCCAAAACUGCAUUGAAUACACAGCCGCUAUUACCUUUGGAAACUCAAUGCCAUGUUCCCAAUAAUGAACAUUAAGUUAUUCAGUUAUUCCAAUAUAAUAGCAGAAGUACUCAAUUACCUUUUGAAUUUGAUGCCCCCACAAAAUUAAUAAGGAUGAUUAAUUACUUGUCUGAAAUUCCGUAUUACAGAAUGGGGCAGAUUUUCCUACAAGGUAACACUACCAUUUUAGAUUCCUUUCUUCCUGCUUCCUACUACAGGCUGGAUAUUUCUUGCAAACACCAAACAACUAAGUAUAUAAGCAAAACAGUGGAGAAGAGAAAUACCAUUUCAGGGGAAGGUCAGUAUUUGCUCAGAAAUUUAUUAGACCACUUGUGAUUACAUUUAAAGAAAUGUAUUCACAACCCCCACUUUUUGCUUUCCAAAGGUCAAACAGUCAAUUGCUGCCUGAGGGGGACAAGCAGAAUACUUGAAUGGGUUCUGCCUGAGUUCUCUUCUAGCUUAGCUAGCUGAUAGAACAGCUUUGUUUCACUUUUAUAAUCUUGCAAAAAGAAAAGGGACUUAAAAAAAUCUGAACAUAUUUUCCUCUCCUAGGUAAUGGGAACAUUUAUACAUCUAAGUCUUAGAUAACUAUUUGCAUUUUAAGUUAAGAUGAGGAAAGGGAAGGCCUAUAGUAUGACCAUGUAGGCUAGUUCAAUUAUUUUGUUAAAUACAAAACUAACCAAGAAUUUGAAGAAUCAUGACAAUAUUGUGUGCUACUAAUAGAUUUCCUCUAAUAGUGUAUUUGGUUGACCAAGCCACACAGUUUGUAAAUGAAAUUGGGAAUUCCCGAGAUAAUCCCCCCAAAUGGCCUGACAAGAAUGCAUGUGCUGUAUAAAUAUUGAGGUUCCAAAGUGGUUUGUGCAGUUGCCCAUGUGUUUGUUUAGACCUUCCACUUUCCUCCCCACAGGCCUGAGCAGAACUAAAAGGGUCUUGUUCCAAGGUAGCUGAAAUCUUGAAUAGACGCAGUCUCCUCCUUAGGGACUGAGGAAAUAACAACAUAAUUAUGCCGACAAAAUUCCUAGCAAAUGCAUUGCUAUGUCAAGCAGGGAUACACAAUGUAUGCCCAUGGAUAUAUGUGUGACCUCAGGUGUUUUUCUUGGCACCCACCAAAUUGUCACAAAGAUAGAAUGUCUGUGAGUGGUAAUGAUGACAAUCUCUGUGUGGUGUAUGGCAUGAUGACCUGGAAUAAAAGUGAAAAAGAGAUAGGGAGGAAUGACUGGAUUGGCAGAGGACUGGACCUGGAUAUGGGGAAAUUUUCCCAAAUGUUGGGAAGUGCCAACAGAAAAGAAAGUUAUUUAAAUCUACAUCAGUGCACCUGAGACAUAGUUGCACUAUAUCUGUAGAGAUAACCACAUUCAAUUCAGAGAGAUAGUCAGCAAUGGAGAGAUAUUCCUAACAAUUACAAAGAUAAAGAACAUAUUUGGCUUCAAUAUUUCUUGUGACUUGAAUAUUUGCCAUAGUGAUAUGCCUAAUGUUGAAUGAACUGGAAUUUAUUUUAUCUUUAUUAUACUGUGAAAAAGUAGCACUUAUAUCUCACUGGAAAAGAAACAAGCCAUCUAAGUUAUUUGACAGGUACUCUAGCAUUUGGUGCUCUUGCACUGAACUCAUGUUUAAAAUGCAUGAACUGUGUUAGGAAAGAUGGCAAAUGGAUGAUAAAUUCUCUGGGGGAAAAACCAAGCUUCACUUGUCAGGUUGUUGCAUGCUGUAAUACUAAUGCUAAUCUGUACCCCUUGGUAUUUUGAUUGUUGUUUCUAUUUUAUUUGUAACUGUGUCAUAGAUUUGAUAGCAAAAUAUUUCCUCUUAAAUAAUACUUAAUAUUUUGAACUCAGAUUUUUUUUAAGUUAAUGCAAAUUUUUGCCCUUAAGAGCUUAGCUGAUACAAACAGCAAUUUAUAAAUAGGAAACUCUCCUUUUGACAAUGCAUUUUUUAAACUUCGCUUUCAGUUAUUUCUGUCUCUUUCACUGAAAUUCAACAGGUUCUGUUGGAAUGAACUUGGUACUAAAAUACCCCACACUAUUUCAUUAAAUACUUUAGUGUAAUCUGGGAUUGGACAAAUUGCACAAUAUUAGAGAAAGGAGUUACCAUCUAGAGGUAUCUGUUAACACAUCACUUUGCAUAUUUUCCUUGCAGGCAGUUAAUAGGGUUUGAAUAUUAUUUGAAAAAGCAUAACUGGAUGCCAAGAAUUAGCAGGUAGACAGGUUCCACUAAUUUUAUAUUUCUAUUCAGGAAUCUUUACAAACUAUAAACUAAACAAAACUUGAAUUGUCUUAGAAAUUGGGAUUAUAGAAGCAAGAAUUUUGUAAAAAUUGAUUUACUUGCCUCACAGAGCAUUGCCAAUCUUUUCAAUAAAGACAUAUUUAAAAUUCACUAAAAAGAUGACAGUCUUAAUAAUCAGUCUUGAACUUGUGGCUGUGGCCCUUCCUAAAUUCUAAACUUAUAACCCACAAACAGUUCUAACUUGAUAGCUCAAGAAGCACAAAGGCUGUGGCAGGAGGGGUCAGAAAAUUGUUGUACAAUGUAUUUAGCAAAGUCAGAACUUUUGCAAUGUAUUUUUACAGCCACAAAUAAACUGAAAAUUAACAGCAACUGAUCAUUUAUUUCUCCAUACCUCUUUCCCUCAACAUUUUUUUUCAUUUCCAUUUUUUCCACCGUAAAAGGUUUUCUUUUAAGCUUUGAAGACUACUGUGCAAACAAAAUUGGGGAACAAAUAAGGGCUGCAGCCAUUUUCAGGAAUUCUGAUCCAGCAUCACACUAUGCACUAUUCCCAACUAUUUCAUGAACUUACUCACAGAGACAGGUUAAGCAAAGGGGGAAUGUGUCAACAGAGCUUUUCUGUCCUCUGAAAAAGCCCAUUUUUCACAUCUCCAGCUGGCACCCAAAUAAUAGAAAUUCUUGAUUUCCUACAAAAUUGAACUUAAGUCUUACUAUUUAUAGUCAGCUUCAACUGACUAAUCCCAGAAAAUUUCAGUUGUCUCCCUACCUCUGCAAGGGGUUGUUAACUGCUUUGCAAACACAACAGAACUACUUCAAAAUCUCGAAAGCACUUCUUGCUUGAAAAAUAUAAAGUGGCUCUGCAAUUUGCCUUCAGUACUCUCUAUACAUUGAGCAGUGGCUGAAGGAGAUAAAGAAGUUCUUCAAGACUUUAUAUAUGUAAUGCUGUUUUCCUCAGUACGCUUAGGAAGUGCAAUUACAGUCAGAAUUAUAUAGGAAGCCUGAUCAAGAUUUGCCUUCAAAUGUAUUUAUAAUAAACAAUUUAUUCUUCUUAAGUUAUUCAUGUAAGCACCUAAGAGCACACAUUGGCAUCAUAACAGUGCCUAAACAGAGGGCUUUUUGUUGUGAUAAGAGACAAACAUACUGUGAUCCUGUUGAUUCUCCAAGGAAGUUUUAACACCAUAAACUAUGAGUAUUUCUUGAAGCCGCCAUGCAAACGGGAAGCUCAGGGCAUAGAGAUAUAGUGGUUCUGCUUCUGUUUGGCAAAUUGUGGGGAUGAGGGUGGAAAAGAGGCAGUUAUGUUUCAUCUGCAUUGCAUCUUCCUAGUGUUGUCCAGCAGAGCUUUUCUAAAUGGUACUUGGCCUAUUAUAUUCUGGGCCAAAGAAAAAAUCAAGGAGGCCCUUGGUAGUGCACUGUGAUGAAUGGCCAUCACUUUGAAAAGAAAGUCACUCAGAUUUGUCAUGAACUGGACACCACAAGUAAUGUAGUUCCACUAGCAAAAGUAACCACACCACCAUCUGGUCCAGUUUUAUUGGAUGAAUUUCAAUCACUGAGGCCCAAGGAUAUGAACAAGGUGCUUGAUCAAGUCCAGCCAACCCCACUUGUGUGCUCAGUCCUCAUUCUAACAAUUAAGGAAAGGAUUCCUACUUGGGUCCAGAAGGCUGUAAGUAUCUCCUUGAAAGAGGGAGUGGUUCCAGUCUCUCUAAAAGAGGCUGUAAUUAAGCCACUGCUGAAAAAGUAUAACCUGGACCCAGAAGAUGUUAAUAAUUAUAGCCUGAACAAGGUGUUUGAAUGGAUGGUGGCUAAAAAGUUUCAGGAACUCUUGAAUGAAAUGGAUUAUCUAGAUCAUGGGUCCUCAAACUACAGCCAGGGGGCCGCAUCCGGCCCGCCAUAGCCAUUUUUCUGGUCCGCCUCAGAGCUUUUUAACGCGCUGCGUGCGCACCCACCGCUGCACGCCUCGCCCCCCCAUGCAAGGAGGCGGAGGCUUGGUCGCUCGGAGAUCGUUUUGGACUCGCUCGGAGAAAACUAUCUCCAAGUGAGCAACCACUGCAUUGCGGUACGUGCCUGUCCCCGCCUUGCCUCCCUUCGCCACGCCCACCUGCACCUUGCCAUGCCUGUGUCCCCCCCCACCUCAGCGCCCAUGCACCCCGCAGGCACCACCUUUCUGGCCCACACCCAGCACCAGCACCUUUCAACUGACCCCCUGGUGAAAAAGUUUGAGAUCCAUUGCAAUCUAGAUCCAUUGCAAUCAGGCUGUAGGCCUGGUUUUGGAAUGGAAACUACAUUGGUUACUCUGCUGGAUGACCUCUGCUCUGAGAAAGAUAGGGGGAGGGCAACCUCCUGGACCUCACAGCGACUUUUGAUACCAUUGAUCAUGCUAUCCUUCUGGCUGGGCUGGCACUGGAUUGCAGUGGUUCUGCUCUUACUUGACUGGCUAGUUCCAGAAGAUGGUGUGUGUGUGGCAGGGGAGGAGGUUAUUGCUCUGUGUCAUGGCAGUUAUGUCACGGGUUACCACAGGGUUCUAUUUUAUGCUCAUGCUAUUCAAUAUCUACACGAAAUUGCGGGGGAGGUUAUCUGGAGGUAUGGGCUGAGGUACCACCAAUAUGCAAAUCACACUCAUUUCUACCUCUUUUUUUCAUCAAACCUGUUUGAGGCAGUAGCUGCUCUGAAUCAGUGUCUGAGAAUAGUAAUGUACCAGAUGA